rnacentral:rRNA from 1 species
AGCGAACGCUGGCGGCAGGCCUAACACAUGCAAGUCGAACGAACCUUUCGGGGUUAGUGGCGGACGGGUGAGUAACACGUGGGAACGUGCCUUUAGGUUCGGAAUAACUCAGGGAAACUUGUGCUAAUACCGAAUGUGCCCUUCGGGGGAAAGAUUUAUCGCCUUUAGAGCGGCCUGAGUCUGAUUAGCUAGUUGGUUGAGGUAAUGGCUCACCAAGGCGACGAUCAGUAGCUGGUCUGAGAGGAUGAUCAGCCACAUUGGGACUGAGACACGGCCCAAACUCCUACGGGAGGCAGCAGUGGGGAAUCUUGCGAAAUGGGCGAAGGCCUGACGCAGCCAUGCCGCGUGAAUGAUGAAGGUCUUAGGAUUGUAAAAUUCUUUCACCGGGGGCGAUAAUGACGGUACCCGGAGAAGAAGCCCCGGCUAACUUCGUG